CCCUUAGAUGUUCUGGGCCGCACGCGCGCUACACUGAUUCAUGCACUAAGUAUAUAACCUUGGUAGAAAUGCUUGGGCAAUCUUCGAAACUGAAUCGUGCUGGGGAUUGGAGCUUGUAAUUAUUCUCCAUGAACGAGGAAUUCCUAGUAAACGCGAGUCAUCAGCUCGCAUUGAUUACGUCCCUGCCCUUUGUACACACCGCCCGUCGCACCUACCGAUUGAAUGGUCCGGUGAAAUCUUCGGACCGCGCAACGCCGCAAGGUGAUGCGUGGAAAGUUGCUUAAACCUUACCAUUUAGAGGAAGGUGAAGUCGUAACA
rnacentral:rRNA from 1 species